UUGAUUGGAAUAAUAAGCUGUGAGGCACUGGGUUGGGGUUGUGGAAUCUCCUCCCUCCUGUUCUACCACCUCUAAUAGAAGACAGGUGAGGAGCCUCAGGAAGGAAGGAAGUGCAAGGGCUCCAAGAUGGAGACAUAAGGAAGUCCAAGAAAGCCAAACCCAAGGUGUUUGAGAAGAGUUGGCGUGAAGAAGCAGAGCAAAACAAGAUGAACAGGUUCAGAGCCAGGGCAGCUCAGCACUAUUGAACAGGUUCCAAAUGUCCUGGUUCCCUUUUCCUCAGAACCCUGUGGUGUGGCACUGCCCUGGAGACCAAGACAGCCAGGAACUUUGCCGGAAGCUCUGCCAGGACACAGCUGUCUUGUUCUUCUUGCCUGCAACCAAGGUGAAGAAAUGCAAGCAACGGAAACCUGGUUGUUUGUUUGUAUGUCUGCACAGCAUGUGCAUGCCUAGUAUUCAUGGAGACCAGAAGGGUAUAUUGGAUACCCUGGAACUAGAGUUACAAACUAUGGAGCCUGCCCACUCUGCAUAUCUCACUGAAGGGAAACAGCCAGGAUUUGUUGGUUAGCACCAUUGCUUUCCACUUAGUGCUGUCCUCAUGGCUCACCCGGUGAAUUCACUAAUGCUGCUGAGGACAUCGGUGUGCUCUCUAAUGUGGAUGCUGUGUGAUGUGAUGUUCCCACUUCUGACCUGGAGAGCUGCUCAGCCUUGUAUUCCUACCACCGGGUUGUCACAACGUGAUGAAGAGACACAAGAAAGACAAGCCUGAUCAGCUUGUAAAUAGAUUAAAAUGCUAUGAUUCAUCAGUUGCUGCUGAGCAGUAGCUGGAUAGGGGGCUGCAUGGAGAGUGGACAUUGUGCCUGUCAAGUUGCAGAGUCUCACUGACCACUAAGUGGGGCAUGCUCCCUGUUCAGUCUAAGCCUAACUGACUUUGGCCACUAGGUGGCAAAAUUCCCAUUUAGAUAUCAAGCAGGGGUCCUUGGUGCGUGCACCCAUCCCUGCACUCAUCUGUGCAGGCCAGACCUGGAGGCACACUCUUGGAGAUGGGUGGGAAACAGCAUCCAUCAGUGAGAACAUGAAUGCACGUAAGUAAGUCUUAACUUGAAAAGAACUCAGCUAAGCCUUUCUUUAAAUUCGGUGUGUCAAUGUGUGUGCAGGUGAGCACAUGCCACAACCUGCAUAUGGAGGUCAGUAGAUUCUUUUCUGCCACCUUGUGGGAUCCUGGGAUCCAAGGGAUAGCCUGAAUAGAAGCAUCUACAGGGCCCAGCAAAGCCUUUCAUCUUUGAACAGAUCAAUCACUCACCAAAUAUUUCUGAGCACCUAUUGUGCACUAGAUAUUAUUCUAUGUGUUGAGAACUUGGCAAUGUAUCAAACAGACACAAUAAAACUUAUAUUAGUGGGACGAGGAAGAAAGAGAUGAGUGACACGGUGUAAUAUACCAUGCAGGAAAUAGUGCUAGAGAAGUGAAAGAAGCUGGGUGAUGGUGGUGAAUGUCUUUAAUCCCAGCACUUAGGAGACAGAGGUAGAUGGAGCUCUGUGAGUUCAAGGACAGCCUAGUCUACAGAGUGAGUUCCAGGACAGCCAGGUUAUGCAGUGAAAUCCUGUCUUGAAAAAACAAAUAAAAAGAAGUGAAGGAAGAUGGUCCUGUUAUAUAGGAAACAAACAACAAAACCCUCCAAAGAACUGUGGAGUUUCAUGUUUCUUUUCAGCUAGAGUCUGUUGUCAAGUUAGCUUCAAGCAUCUCUCACCCCAGUCUCCAGAGGAUCUGGGUGUCUUUCCCACCCAGAGAGUGCACAGCUGGCAGGAAUUUCAUAGAAUCCACCAGAAAUGCCACAGCAGUGGAGGCUGAGGACAAAUUAAGACCAUGCUUGAGGUCAGGUGUAAUGGCACACACCUUUAUCUCAGCACUUGAGAGGCAGAGGUGGGUGGAUCUCUGAGUUUUAGGCCAGCCUGAUCUACAUAGAGUUCCAGGACAGCCGGGGCUGCAUAUUGAGAUCUUGUCUCAAACAAACAAGCAAACAAACAAGUCACACUCAGUGCCACUGUAUGCCUCAGUUCUGGCUGAGACAGACAUCAAGAGGAUUUCCCAGAGUAGACAGAGCACAGAGCCCUUUGCCUCUUGUAUCUCUAGGACAGGACAGGCUCAUCAGGGUGGUUACUGAAUGUGGGAACUGAAGAUUGUGGUGAUGAAUCUCAUGGACUGAGAUAUAACACUGGAUUAGUAGAACAUAACUUUUGAAUGUUCGUGAGGAUGAUGCAGGAGCCCUAAAUGGAUGAAUGCUUGGAUGGGCUCCUAACAUUGUGGGUGGGGACAUGAGCGCCAGUCCAGUGAAGUGGUCACUGGAAGCUUACCGGUAGCAAUCCUGUCCUGGCGCUUUGCUGCCUCUCCUGAGUUCUUCAUGGCAUCACAUUCUACAAUGAUUCUCUGACAAUCUGCAUGGGUGGGCAAGUGACUACUGACUGAACUCUUUAUGAGCCAAAACAAAUUCCUCUUCCCCUUGAUUUGGGCAGGGAUUUGGUCACAGCAAUAAGAAAGGGAACUUAUAUGGAAGGCAAGAAUGGCCCAGUAUACAAGUCAGCAUGCUUCUGAGAAGCUAGAAAACCAGGAGUGUGCUGGAAAGAUGGCUCAAUGAUUAAGAGCACUGACUGCUCUUCUGAAGGUCCUGAGUUCAAAUCCCAGCAACCACAUAGUGGCUCAAAACCAUCUGUAAUGAGAUCUGAUGCCCUCUUCUGGUGUGUCUAAAGACAGCUACCAUAUACUCAUAAACAUAAAAUAAAUAAUUCUAAAAAAGAGGAGGAGGAGAAAACCAGGAGUGCUGCCUAAGCAGCAGCAGAGGCCAUGAGAGACUGUGUCUGGCAACUUCCCAGGAACCCUGGGCAUCUGACCUGGUAGGUGACUGGUCCAGUGUGUGAUGGCAGAAGUAAUACUGGAAGCCUACUCUAUUCCCUCAGUUAGAACACUUUGUAACUUUGCCUUAGAAGGGCUUAGUACUGAAAAGAUCUCUUUCUUUUUUCUUUUUGAGAUGAGGUCUCGCCAGGUUGCCUAGAUUGGGUUCAAACUUCUAGGUACAAAUAGGAGCUUCAGCCUCCCCAGGUAUGUACCAUCACACCCAGCUUAUAAAGAAAUUUGUUUUCUAGAAAUGACCUGGGUAGGAUUAUCAAGGGUUUACUGAAAACUACAUGGUGGGAAACUACCCCCUUCCCUCAGUCUAAGCUUGGAAUCAAGUUUUCAUAUCCCAGGUGCCACAUGCUUUGGUUUUCAGAUGGAGUUUAAGGCCACAUCUUAAGCUCUGUGAAGGAGGCUGUGUUUGGUGGGUGGAAGUUUGUGUAUGUCAUUGAUGAUUUUGAGAGACCAUUCUGGAUUAGAAUGUGGAUGGGAGAGCUAAUUCAGGUGGAUGCCUGACUUCCUAAGAGUGAGGCCAGGGACCACCCAUCUACUGGGCUGGGCUGGGCAACUCUCAGACUCAUCAACUCAGCUGCCACCCAGGGCUUGGAGACGGCCCACUCCAACAUCCACUCUUAUCUGUGAACUCCUGGAGCAUGUGAAGAGACUGGUUCUUCAGAACUAAAGCAGCAAGAUCUCUAUGACACAGAGCAACAACAGGAUAUCCACGAGGAGUCCUGGUGAGGAUCCAGUAUUGACAGCAUAACAGAAACCAGGGGCCUCGAACCAGACCAAUGACUCAUUGCAAUGAAUAUUUGCAAGAUUCAUGAACAUGACGGCUUCCAUGAUGAGAUGGUUUGUUCUUCUUUUUUUGUUUUUGUUUAUAUCUAUAUCUAUCUAUCUAUCUUUCUUUCUUUCUUUCUUUCUUUCUUUCUUUCUUUCUUUCUUUCUUUCUUUCUUUCUUUUUUUUUGGUUUUUCCCCACCUUGAGGAGGAGGUUGCAAGGGCAGAGGACAGAGAGAUGAAUGGAAUUGGAGUGCAUGAUAUGAAAUUCAAAGAAUCAAUACAAAGUUAAGAGGGGGACAGGCACGGAGAUGUAUGUCUGUCAUCAUAGUUUAUGGGAAGACUGAGACAGGAGUUCUCUAACCCCCCCCGCCCCCCCUCCCGCGCACGCGCGCGCACACACACACACACACACACACACGAGGCAAUGGAGGCAGGUAUUGGGGUGAUAUGGCCUCAAAUCGAAGUAUAUAGUAGCCACUAGAAGCUGACAAAAUGCAAACUCUUCUCAGCCACAGAGGGAUUGUGGCCCACAGACACCUAGGCCUCCAACUUCUUGCCUCUGAAAUGUGAGAAAAUAACGUUCUUCCUUUUAAGAUAAGCUCUUUGAGGUUAAGCUAACUUUGAACUCACUGUGUGGCCGUGGAUGACCUCGAACUCCUGUUCCUCUUCACUUCCAAAGGUCUCCAGUUUAUAUAGUGCUGGGGAUCAUACAUGCUAGACAAGUACUCUCUCUACCAACUAAACAAUACUACUUUUGUUGUUGUUUGAGUCAGGGCCCCUCUCUAUAGUCUUGGUUGUCCUGAAACUCACUAUGCAGACCAGCUGGCUUUGGACUCAGAGAUCCACUUGCCUCUGCCUCCCAAGUGCUGGGGUAAAAAUUGGGUGCCACCACACCCUGCUCUAACCUACACUAUUUGCCCCUUUUGUUGUUGCACCACAGUCAGCUAGUAACAUCAGAGUGUGAAUUCUGGUGAGGCACACAUUUCCCACACUUUAAAAAGUACUCCAUGUCUUGGUCCUGCUGCCUGUGGUUCUAACUCUGAGCACUAGAAUAUGAAAUGCUCUCCAAUUUCAAUGCAUGACCCUUUGCUACUGGGCUAUCCUAGUAGGAUUUGGAACUUUACAAGGUGAGAUCUGUGGGAAGCAGGUUUCUGGGGGAGUAUCUCCAGGGAUGAACCAGCUCCCUGGGCUUCUCCUCUAUCCUUCCUGUCUGCAAGUCAGUGAACAGCCUCUUCUGCAUACUACUGCUUUCAAAAUGUUCCACCCAAGGCCACAAGGACAAACAGCCAUAGGCUUAGCCCAUUGUAACUGUGAUCCACAUUUUCUUCCUACCUCACUCUGCAAGGUGUUCAAGUAUCACUCUAUCAGUUAGUACUGUGCCCUCACCUGACCAAGUGCUGAAUGUGGAACCUCUGGAGGGCAUGGACCCCUGCAGUUUUGCUGUGCCGAGAGAGCCUGGGGGAACUUGCUGCUUGAAUUCACCAUCUGGCUCAAGAAGGCCACUUCUUAAAAACAGUAGCUGUCAUUCAUUUUGGACUGGAGAACCUAUUGACUUCUAGUAUGUUGGUCUCUAUCACCAGGUGGCCACAGAUACUUGCUGCAUUCUUCUUUUUUUUUUUUUUUUUUUUAAAGAUAACUUUUUUUUUCAUUUAUUUAUUAUAUGUAAGUACACUGUAGCUGUCUUCAGACACUCCAGAAGAGGGUAUCAGAUUUUGUUACGGAUGGUUGUGAGCCACCAUGUGGUUGCUGGGAUUUGAACUCGGGACCUUUGGAAGAACAGUCGGCGCUCUUAACCACUGAGCCAUCUCACCAGCCCUUGCUGCAUUCUUCUAUGGUCUCUUUUGUUUGCCCAGCCCAGGUUUGGAUCAGGAAAGUGAGGCAGGAGACUCACACUAGUAUUAGAUUUCAGUUUCCUGGAUGGCAGACAUUUGCUAAUUACUGACCAGCUGAGGAUGGUUAGUUUAAUAGAUCCUGCCACUCAUGUCAUCUGAAAGUGGGCAAGUAAUGUGUGUCCAUACCUGGGGAGUAAUCUCUGAACCACAAUAUGCAUUAGUCUUUUAAGAACAAAAGUAGGCAAGAAUGCAUAGGAGGUAAAGGCACUUCUGCCAUGCCUGACAACCUGAGUUCAACCUCUGGGACCUAUAUGGUAGAAGUGUUAGGUUUCAAACCUUGGACAAAUAUCUGAGGUGCCUAUUUAACAUAUUAAAGUGGGUCUGGCCCCCUGGUUCUUCCUGCAUCCCUUAGUCCCAACCUGUUACAGGGUCCACCUGGCUAACACACCCUAGGCCCUACCCUUAAGUCUUUAGCCUAGGGGGGUGUUAGCCAGCUAGGGUGCUCUUCCCUAUAUAUAAUCCAGCCAUUUUGCUUACCCCACUCUUUGUACCUUUGAGCCGCUGCAUCUGGAACGCAUCCCCAUGGCACAGCCCAGUCUAGUCAUGUCUACUCUGGACUCUCAGAUGUCCCUGCCUUGGGCUAUGCUUUCCCAUAGGUCUGAAAGAUCCUGAGAGAGAGUGAAAAAUUAUUUAAGCCCCUAGACUUGUGUCCAAAAUAGACCUCACUAAUGGCGGGGAGUAAAAGUUUAACUCGCCCCAUUGUUCCAGGAUGUACUAACCACAAAGUGGAAGUUUAACUUGCCCCAUUGUUUCAGGAUGUUUGUACAGAAUACUCUAACCAUUCCUUGAACCCAUUAUGCAAACUUGCUAGCUUGCCAAAUGCUAUAUAGCCCAAAUGCCAGGUGUUUGUGGUUUCUGCCUUUAUAAACCCCCUACCCCUUGAGCUCAGGGUCGACUCUCUACCCCUGCAUGGGAUAUGAGUAGUACCCAGUGCAAUGGCCUUUCCCGAAUAAACCUCUUGCUGUUUGCAUCAAGAUUGGUCUCUCAUGAGUUCUUGGGUGUCUGCGUCAUCCGAGACUUGAGUGAGUGUCUCUCCACUUCGGAGGUCUUUCAGGUCUAGAAUAAACUUUCUCCUUUACCAUACCUAGGAAUGAAUAGUCAUGUUCUUUUCCUUUCUUCCUCCCUCCCUCCCUCCCUCCCUCCCUCCCUCUCCCUCUCCCCCUCUCUCUCUCAAAACUUGGGGCUAACUGUGGAAAGCCUUUUGGGGUACCACUUGGCAGGAGUCUGAUAUUGGCCAAGAACAAAGAAAUGGGCUUCAGACAGGAAUCUGACAUUGGCCAUGACAAGGAAGUAAGCUCAGGGCAAGAAUCUAACUUUAGGCUAUAAUAGGGAAGUAGGUUAAGGCAGGAAGUUUAGUCUUAGGGAGGAACAGAAGAACUAGGCUUCAGGCAAGAUUUUGGGCUUGAACAAGGAAGUGGGCUCAAGUAUUUUGGUCAUUAUGACAAGGCCUUUUAAACAACUGUCAUGGGAGUAAUCACAGGACUUUGCUUACUGCUUUGUUAGUUAUUGUACUGCUCACCCAAAAUACUUGCAUGUAAUUAAAAUGGU